rnacentral:rRNA from 1 species
UACGAACCGUACAACCGUUAUUCGGAAUCACUGGGCUUAAAGGGUGCGUAGGCGGCCAUGUAAGUGAGGUGUGAAAUCCCUCGGCUCAACCGAGGAACUGCGCUUCAUACUGCAUGGCUUGAGGGAGACAGGGGUAAGCGGAACUGAUGGUGGAGCGGUGAAAUGCGUUGAUAUCAUCAGGAACACCGGUGGCGAAAGCGGCUUACUGGGUCUCUUCUGACGCUGAGGUACGAAAGCUAGGGUAGCGAACGGG